CAACCUUUCUUUCCCACUAUCUUUGGUAGGUUAUGGCCUAAAAGAGAGGUUAAAGCAUUUAAGAACCAUCAUUAGAAGUAGGUCAUUGGGAAAUCUAAGCCAACAGGUUAUGGCUUAAUAAGUGAUGUGUUUGUGUGUAAGUUGACAAGGGCUCCAUUGUGCUGCAAGUUUUUGCCAACUUGACUCAAACUUAAAGCUAUCUGAGAAGAGGGUCUCUUAAGAAAAUAUCUCGGUGAGACUGGCCUAUAGGCAAGUCUGUGCAGUACUGUCCUUGAUCAGUGAUUGACCUGGGAGGGCCAGUGACUGUGGGUGGUGCCAACCCUAGUUAGGUGGUCUUGAGUUGUAUAAAAAGCAGGCUGGGCAAGUCACAAGACCACGCCAGUAACAGCACCCCUUCCUGGCCUCUGCUUCAGUUCCAGUCCCCAGUUCUUGCACUGACUUCCCCUAGCGAUAGAUAGAGUGUGAACCUGAGAGUUGUAAGCUGAAAUAAACCCUUCCCUUCCCAAGUUGCUUUUGUUUGUGGUGUUUUAUCACAGCAAGAGAAACGGUAAGACACUGUAAGAGAAGAAGAUGGCUUUGAGAGGGUCACAGAUCCCCUGGGCCUGGUGUUCUCUGCCACUCACACUGAGAAUAGGGUUUUUCUCAGGAGACCACAUUCUUCACAGGUCCCUGCAGGGCAAUCACAGAGCCUCCUCCAGAGGGUGAAGAGCCAACACGUCAAGGUGCAGAGAGCAGGUGGGAUGGGAGGCAGCCUGCUGGGUCCAUCCAGGCCUGGGGAUGUUACAGAGCUGGGGGUUCCAGGGCUGAUUGGGCCUGAGAAGCACAUCGGUCCCAGACCUAUGUCUGUCUCCAGCAGUGUGCAGAGACAUCACACCAACGCUGGAAACACUGGAGCCAUCAGCUCUCGUUUAAGCUUUUGUUUUUCUGCCGAGGUAUGGCUGAUGCAAGACAAGCAGCACAUAUUUCAAAUGCUUUGAGAGGUCUUGGCCUCUGAACGCAUCCUUGAAGCUGGGGUGUGACAGAGAAUCCACAUCUCUCCCUCCUCGGGUCUCUACCGUAGACCCAGUCUGACUCUGAUCUGCCUUUUGAUGCGGGAGACUCAUACUAUAGAAUGCUUAUGUGUAAGCUGUGGUGCAGGACAGCCCAUUUUUGUCUGGCAUUGAUUAUUAUGAGAUUCAUCCAGGCAAUGUGUGUUGGCAUACCAUUCCACUGUGUUAACAGUCAUGCCCAUUCGAUGAAGGUGGAUGUGCGGGCUGUUUGUGUUUGGUGCCAUUCCAGACAAGACCUUUGUGCGUGUUUGUGUUUGAGUCUUUGAAUGGCCGCAUGCUCAUGUCUCUUGGAUAAACCCCUCAUCAUUCAAUAGCUGGGCCAUCUGGUAGAUCUGAUUGUUUUGGUCCCUAAAUACUGAAGACAGUCCAACCAAACUUUCUACUCUUGUCUUUGCUGCCUCAAGGCAGAUGUGGACCACCUCCCUCCCUCUCUGGGGAUGGGGUUACUAGCUCCGAGAGCAUAUAGAUUUUAUAUAUGACUCAUGAGCUUGGCUUGUAGGGUAUAGUCUGGAUCGUCCAACAGCAGCUGUGGCAUGACAGAAAGGCCAAGAACCCGGGUCAGUCCUCAAGGCUGAGUCUUGACCUGGAGUCCUAAAGAGAUCUGGUUUGCACUGGAAUCCUCAAGAAACUGGGUUUAACCCUAGCCACACCACAGGGCAGAUGAACUUUCCAGGAGAGUAAGAGCAAGUAAGCAAAAAACAAAGGUUCUCCCUCACACAACUUUUUAUCUGGGCUGCACUAAAAGGUCUGGACCAGAUGUAAGGUAAGUUUUCCUAUUUCGAAUAAUAUGAUUAAGAAAAACAUUCACAGGUGUGCCCAGAGACUUGGGUUUUAGUUGAUUCCAGAAGUAGUCAUGGGGACAGCUACAUGCCUGAGACAGCUACAGCAGACUGGCUUCGAUAGAGUCUUCCUAGGGAUUUCUCUGCCCACUUUGCCUUCUGACUUACUCAUCCAGUGAGAAUGUCUGGCUUUGUGAUGUGGCACACUGAUGUCAUCAAGUGUGUUGGGCUGCACAUCAAGUGUGUGUAGUAUUUCUUCUGCAAUGCAGGUGCCCGCAGCUCACAUCUUAGAUCGUUGAUAGCCCGAGGGUCUAAUGCCUCAGCAGUGACUCCUAAAGGACAGAGUGGAGUGGAAACUUAAGGGUUCCUUGGAAAGUCAGUUGUGCUGGAUGCGUGAAAAGACCUGUGAGGAAGAAUUCUUCACUAACAACACACAUGUGUCGGUCUGCCUUACACUGUGCAGUUAGUCGAGCUCCAUUUGUUGGGACUCCAUAGAGAAAAACACAGAACCCGUGCUGAGGCAAGACACAUGCGUCACGUGGCCCUGAACAAAGGCGGUGAACUUUAUCCGGCAGUAACCUAAUCUCCUGGAUCGUUUACCAACAACACUCAGAGUGAUCUCCGGGAUUACCUUGGGCUUUGGCCAGCACCAGGGAGACUGGGCUGAACAGAAGGAAACUCCGUUCACAAAGAGAUACAACAGGAACCGUGGAGGAGCUGUUGGCUGGCACUCAGCUAGCUUUCUUACAAGGUUUAGGACCAUCUGCCUGGGGGAUGGUGUUAUCUACACAGUAGAUUGGGCCAGUCUACCUCAGUGAACAGUCCCUGCCCCAGACGUGCCCAGAGGCCGUUAUGAGAAGCAGUUCCUUGAUUGAACUCUCUUCCCAGAUAAAUACUAGUUUCUGUCAAUUUGACAGUUAAAGCUGAGUAACUAAGAUGAGCUCAUUUAUGUACGUAUAGACAGUUUCUCAGUAUAGCCCGGGCUAUACCGAGCUCACUGUGUGACUGGAGAUAAUUUUGACCUUCUAAUCCUACUGCCUCCACCUCCCAAGUGCUGGGAUUGCAGGCUCGUGCCGCCAUGGUUGGUUUAUACAGUACUGGGAAUCCAAUCCAGGGCUUCAUGCGUUCUAGCAAGUAAUCCACUAAAGAAACCAUCCUCAGCCUGAGAACGCUUAUAAAUGAGAGAGACUCAGCUUAGGGCAGUUUCUGGCUCUGUGUGGACCACGUUCUCUCCUAGCGUCAGAGCUUUCCUCAGAGUUCUGUGAGAGCAGUGUUAACUGUGGACAGUCCUGGACUCACAUCACCCCAGUUUGUUGCCUCAGAAGACAAAACUCUCCCAGGAUCUUGAGAUGGAUCGAGAUUGAGAGUCCUGAGUUCAGAGCUCUUAAUGGAACGGGCAAAGUUCUAAGGAGAGAAGCUAUGGAGAUGGGGAAAGGAAACUCAGGUGGAGCAGAGAUGGAGGCACAAGCCAAGGCCUCUGUGAGUCACCAGAAGCAGGGGCAGGACCAGCCUUGGUAACGCUGUGAUUUAGGACAGCCGACAAUCCCAACAUGUGUUAAUUCUAAUACAUUUCUGUCUUUUGAA
rnacentral:sRNA from 1 species